UACGAAGGGGGCUAGCGUUGCUCGGAAUUACUGGGCGUAAAGGGAGCGUAGGCGGACAUUUAAGUCAGGGGUGAAAUCCCAGAGCUCAACUCUGGAACUGCCUUUGAUACUGGGUGUCUUGAGUGUGAUAGAGGUAAGUGGAACUCCGAGUGUAGAGGUGAAAUUCGUAGAUAUUCGGAAGAACACCAGUGGCGAAGGCGACAUACUGGAUCAUUACUGACGCUGAGGCUCGAAAGCGUGGGGAGCAAACAGG
rnacentral:rRNA from 1 species